UGCAUGCGCGCAGUGCCUGUGGAUGUCAGAAUGGGGCGUCCGAUCUCCUGGAUCUACUACCACAUGUAAGUUCUUGUGAAGGUAGGAAUUCACAUGGUUGGUGCUGUAAAUCCAGAAGGUAUUAAGGCAUUUUGGAAAUGUGUGCAGCAGGGCUGGCAAGAUGGCUCAGUGGGUAAAGCACUUGCUGGGCAGGCCUGACAACCUGAGUUCAAUCCUCACAACCGACAUAAAGAUAGGAGGAAAGAAGCAACUCCAUAAAGCCGGUCCUCUGACUCCUGGCCCCAUGUGCCCUCUCUCUCUCUCUCUCUCUCUUGCAUCCACACACACAUGUAAUUAUUGAUUUUUAAAAGAAUAUGCAUCCAACACAUGAAUGUGUAUGCACAGAGGGCACGUGAAUACAUACUUUAAAGGCAUGGUAGUUAUUUAAGUUCCAUUUAUAAGAAGUAGCUGACCAGAUAGAGCAUAUAGCUCAGGAAAUUGUCACCAGGGAAGGAGCCAUGCAGGGAAACAGUGCAUCUCAGACCCCAGGAGGUCCUGCUGAGCCUUCUUCCACAGGGACACCCUGCAUCCACUGUGACACCCUGCAUCCACUGUGACACCUUGCAUCCACUGUGAUACCCUGCAUCCACGGGGACACCCUGCAUCCACUGUGACACCUGGCAUUCACUGUGAUACCCUGCAUCCACGGGGACACCCUGCAUCCACUGUGACACCUUGCAUCCACUGUGACACCCUGCAUCCAUGGGGACAACCUGCAUCCACGGAGCCCAUCCUUGGCCUUCAUGUGAGGAGGCUCCUAUAGCCUGUUGCGCCUUUCAUCCGGCUGCCUUCACUCAACAUUAUCUUUAUGAGAUUUACCAGUUAUUGCUGUGAGUAACAACGGUUCCUCUAAAACCAAAAAGAGUGAACCUCAAAACUUUCUGGCAGAUGAAGGUAUUGGGGUGCUGAGUGUAAAGACACCCCAAUCCCUCCCUCUAGCUGAGAACAAUUUGCAGUUACAUUGCCUGCACUGUGGUAAGACAGACCUUACAAGCUCCAUGGCACCAGACCAGCAACUUUCUUGUAGGAUUCUUCUACAACAGAAGGAUGGGCGAUACAAAGCAGCCAAGCACCUUCUGGGAGACGGGAACCCCCCUGCCCCCCCCCAAGUUCACUCAGCUUUUCAAGUCUGAUUUUCUAACCCCAAUAGGCAGUUUGGGGCACACCCUCUAGAAUCUCACAGUGGGGCUUUAUUUUCUUCAUUACCUCUUAUUUGUUGUUGGUGGGCACGUGUGAUGGUGCGUCAUGUGUGAGUGCUUGUAAGGGAGGGCAGAGGGCAGAGGCCAGGGUCAGGAAUCUUCCUCUAGCUCCACAUUAUUGAUAAAGUCUGUCUCUGUACCUGGGGCUUGCUGAUUUGACUAGCCUGGCUAGCCAGCAAGCCCUGCCCCAAGAUCCUCCCAUCUCAGAAACCUCCCUCCAGAACUGUCAGGCCCGGAUUUGCUGACGUAGGUGCUGAGAAUCUAACUCUGGUCCUCCAGCACAUUCCCGAAUGACCCGAAUGACCGUAUCCUCAGUCCUGUCUUGGCUUCCCCAUCAACAGCAUCCCUAGGUGUGAAUUAAACAUCCUUCUGUGGGACCAAUGUGUAACUGUCAGACAUCUAAGGGGCUACUGAUAGCACAUCCUGCCUUCCACUGGUGAAGGAGCUGUGCUCCGUGGGAGCCAGAGGAGCCUGUGGAGCCUGUGACUGACCUCAUUUGUGAGUGGAGGGCAUGCCCCUGCCUCCAGCAGUCCUGACAUGAUGAGCAGCUGCAAUACCUCAUGUGGAUCCAGGCACGUAUGCAACCUUACAUGGAGUUGUGGCCCACGUUUCAUGCACAUUGGGCUUUCUGUCUGUGGGCAUUGCAAGAGCUCUCGUGUAGUUUGAGAAAUGCCUCUAGUUUGUCCUUUACAUGUGUGAAUUUCAAAAUAAAGGAG